UGUCUUCUUCUCUCAUAUCAGGAUCAGAGCCAUAAGUUUUAAUCAAAGAAUUAUGGUUGCUCCUCCAGAGUUUGUUCAGCCUGCCAUUGAUGUAAGUUUGUGCAGCUUUGCUUCCACUUAAAUCAUAUUCAGCCUACAUAUUCAAAACUUAUAAGUUUUGGAAAAUUAAUAAAUUAUAUAAAAAAUUAUAUACUUACAGUUAAUAUUUUUAGCGUGUCUUGGAAAUUCUGUUGUGGUUGAUGACGCCACUCAAUGUCGUACGGAAAAAGAGUAUGGUCUUUUGCUAAAAGAGCCAUUCUUGUCGUUAA
rnacentral:lncRNA from 1 species